GCUUACGGCCAUACCUCUCUGGCUCCGCCUGAUCUCGUCUGAUCUCAGAAGCUAAGCAAAGUAGGCCCUGGUUAGUACUUGGAUGGAAGACCGCCUGGGACUCCCAGGUGCCGUAAGCU
ensembl:rRNA 5S_rRNA 5S ribosomal RNA